GGCAGUACUGCAGUCAUGCUUUCUGUGACCUGUGUAUAGCAGUGUUGUGGUUUUGCAUGUGAUGGGGAAGAAAGGAGAGAAGUCCUCCCUGGCCUCUUUCACCCUCCCAUUUUUUGGGGAGAAGAAAAACAAAAACAGUCCAAUUAAGAAAAGAAGAGAUAACAAAUUGACAAGAAAUGGUAAAAGAAUAUAAGAUAAUGAUGUAAAAAAAGGAGUUAAAGGUAAUAAAUCAAACAAAUGGGAGAAAAGGAUUUUCUGACUACUAAACUGCACUCACCUGAAACAAAGAUGUCAGUCCACCCCCAUCACCCAGAAUUGGAGAUCGUGUAGAGAGUGUUGGAGGCUCCUGGGAACUGAGUUCCCAAGGAGAUACAGAUCUUCGGUUAGCUGCUCCACCUGGGUCACAGAGGCCAACACUAGUUUGAGAUGACGCUAAGUCAGAAGUGGAUGAAAAAUUUUUCAGACUGGCACUGGAAAGAAAGUUUGAUUGGUGCCUGGGGGCCAGGAAGAUGGUGCAGCUGGCAGACCUCACUGGAGCACCAGGGAGAGAGCAGCAGGAGGAAACAUACAAAUAUACCAGCAUAUACCAAGAUGUCUCCAAAUACACAAGAAGAGAAGAACAGAAGUUACAUACAAUUUCACAGUGUAAAAACUGCUCACGUUCUGGAGAGGCUUGGACAAUGAGUCUCGUUCUGUCACUCAAAUCACAGGGCUGAAAACCAGAGCUGUUCCCCACACUGACCUUCACUGGGAUAUCAAUGUAUGUAACAGAUGGCCACUACCAGCAUGUGCUGUAUGAUUCUGACACUUCACAAUAAGCACAGGUGCCAAGUGCCAACCCUCUGUGCUAGUUCUAGGCAGAUUUGGCCUCUGGGAAUGAUACUGAUUUUCUCCAGUCAGAAGAGUCAGCACCAGCAGUUUCAGCUGAAUUAUCACCAGAGACUUGGUGUGAAACCAUCUUCCUCUUUUGUUCAUUAGGGGAAUUUCGUCUGAGCAUUAAAGAAUGAUGAAAUUCUCAAAAAGUGAACCGAGCUCUUUACUCUUUAACUUCUGACAGUGGAGUGCUUAAAGAGUACUCUAUAAAGUGUGGGUUAAUUUUACCCGAGAUAUAACUAUUUUCCACAAAUGUUCUUGCUGAAAUUGUGAUAAUUUGGUGGAUUAAUUCAAUCCUUUAACUUUGCAGCACAGUUAGUAUGAUCACAAGCUGUCUCUUCAACCCAUACUGAUGAAUUGUUUUUACAACAGGCAAGAUAAUUGUCAGAAUUAAGAAUGACAUUGUUGUCAAUGAUGAGACAAAUAAAAAGGAGUUUCCC